AUGCUUUUUGAAAGCCAUGAAAGUGAUUUGCAGAAGUUGUUCACUUUAACCAGCCAAAUCAAAGAUCAAAAUAAAGACACUGGAUCCAACGACUGCAAAAAUAAUAUAAAUGUUGGCUCUGUUCCACAGGGCCCAGUGGUGCUAGAGGAGGCGUCGUUCUACUACAAAGCUCCGGUCAACAAGAACUUCUCCAAGAAAGAUUGGACAGUUUGUUGCUGUUACGCUCCUUCUCUCCCUUCCUCCAAGCGCUCAAGGAGCAGCGACAAGAGCAACACGGCCCGUCAACGUGUUUGGCCCUCUUUGAGGCCUAACCUCACCAAACUUUGCUACACUUACAUCAUGAGGGAACGAAGCAGAUGCGUCCAUCGCAACACUCAAGCAAAUCAGAUGACAAGGUGUUUGGAGCAAGCUAAUCAUAGCCAACUACAUAGUUUAGUACUAUGUUGUAUUAAAGCAGUGUAA
rnacentral:rRNA from 1 species